rfam:Aedes aegypti strain Liverpool supercont1.25 genomic scaffold, whole genome shotgun sequence.
GGCUCGGUAGCUUAGUUGGUACGGCGCUCGCCUAGCACGCAAGAGUCCUGGGUACGAAUUCCAGCCGAGCCC